AUUGAACGCUGGCGGCAUGCCUUACACAUGCAAGUCGAACGGUAACGGGCCUUCGGGUGCCGACGAGUGGCGAACGGGUGAGUAAUACAUCGGAACGUGCCCGAUCGUGGGGGAUAACGAGGCGAAAGCUUUGCUAAUACCGCAUACGAUCUACGGAUGAAAGCAGGGGACCGCAAGGCCUUGCGCGGACGGAGCGGCCGAUGGCAGAUUAGGUAGUUGGUGGGAUAAAAGCUUACCAAGCCGACGAUCUGUAGCUGGUCUGAGAGGAUGAUCAGCCACACUCGGACUGAGACACGGCCCAGACUCCUACGGGAGGCAGCAGUGGGGAAUUUUGGACAAUGGGCGCAAGCCUGAUCCAGCCAUGCCGCGUGCAGGAUGAAGGCCUUCGGGUUGUAAACUGCUUUUGUACGGAACGAAAAGCCUUCUUUUAAUACAGGGGGGUCAUGACGGUACCGUAAGAAUAAGCACCGGCUAACUACGUG
rnacentral:rRNA from 1 species